AACGAACGCUGGCGGCAUGCCUAACACAUGCAAGUCGAACGAGACCUUCGGGUCUAGUGGCGCAUGGGUGCGUAACGCGUGGGAACCUGCCCUUAGGUUCGGAAUAACUCCCCGAAAGGGGUGCUAAUACCGGAUAAUGUCUUCGGACCAAAGAUUUAUCGCCUUUGGAUGGGCCCGCGUUGGAUUAGCUAGUUGGUAGGGUAAAAGCCUACCAAGGCGACGAUCCAUAGCUGGUCUGAGAGGAUAAUCAGCCACACUGGGACUGAGACACGGCCCAGACUCCUACGGGAGGCAGCAGUGGGGAAUAUUGGACAAUGGGCGAAAGCCUGAUCCAGCAAUGCCGCGUGAGUGAUGAAGGCCUUAGGGUUGUAAAGCUCUUUUACCCGGGAUGAUAAUGACAGUACCGGGAGAAUAAGCUCCGGCUAACUCCGUG
rnacentral:rRNA from 1 species